AGUACCUUGUAACCCCCUCCGUGUGUAUCCUGAUAAGCCCAGAAGGCCACCGGAGCACACUGAUAUGAGACACUGAAGAAGCCCACCCAUGGGGUAUAAAAGAAGGACUCUCACAGCCGCAGUCAGACGUUUGUCUGCCCUCCACAGACAGCCGUUCUCCUCCCCCCUGGAAACUGCCAAACUGCCAUUCCUGCUCUGCCUUUGAGCCCAGACUGUUAAGAGGUCUCUCUUUGAGUCAAGAGACCGAGCUCCUUGCCGCGGUGUAUUAGAUGACCUCCGUGUGUCUCUGUCAGCGAGUGUCUCCGGGUGGCCUGCCAAGGACUGAAACUCAUCAGCUCUCUGCAAAACCAUGGGUGGCAGAG